AAUGAAACGCUGGCGGGCGUGCUUUAACACAUGCAAGUCGAACGGUGAAGCCCCAGCUUGCUGGGUGGAUCAGUGGCGAACGGGUGAGUAACACGUGAGCAACCUGCCCUGGACUCUGGGAUAAGCGCUGGAAACGGCGUCUAAUACUGGGAUAUGAGACGUGGCCGCAUGGUCAAACGUUUGGAAAAGAUUUUUCGGUCUGGGAUGGGCUCGCGGCCUAUCAGCUUGUUGGUGAGGUAAUGGCUCACCAAGGCGUCGACGGGUAGCCGGCCUGAGAGGGUGACCGGCCACACUGGGACUGAGACACGGCCCAGACUCCUACGGGAGGCAGCAGUGGGGAAUAUUGCACAAUGGGCGGAAGCCUGAUGCAGCAACGCCGCGUGAGGGAUGACGGCCUUCGGGUUGUAAACCUCUUUUAGCAAGGAAGAAGCUUUUGUGACGGUACUUGCAGAAAAAGCGCCGGCUAACUACGUGCCAGCAGCCGCGGUAAUAAGUAGGGCGCAAGCGUUAUCCGGAAUUAUUGGGCGUAAAGAGCUCGUAGGCGGUUUGUCGCGUCUGCUGUGAAAUCCCGAGGCUCAACCUCGGGCCUGCAGUGGGUACGGGCAGACUAGAGUGCGGUAGGGGAGAUUGGAAUUCCUGGUGUAGCGGUGGAAUGCGCAGAUAUCAGGAGGAACACCGAUGGCGAAGGCAGAUCUUUGGGCCGUAACUGACGCUGAGGAGCGAAAGGGUGGGGAGCAAACAGGCUUAGAUACCCUGGUAGUCC
rnacentral:rRNA from 1 species